rnacentral:tRNA from 1 species
AGGGGAUUAGUUUAGUUGGUAAAACCCCGGGCUUUGAUCUCGGUAUCGUAGGUUCAAGUCCUGCAUCCCCCG